rnacentral:lncRNA from 1 species
CUAAGGACAGAGCAGGUGACUAACAAUGACUAAGGAUAGAACAGGUGACUAAAGGUGACUAAGGACAGAGCAGGUGACUAAGAAUGACUAAGACCAGAGCAGGUGACUAAAGACAAAACAGGUGAAUAAGGACAGAGCAGAUGACUAAGGAUGACUAAGGACAGAGCAGGUGACUAUGGAUGACUAAGGACAGAGCAGGUGACUAUGGAUGACUAGGCACAGAACAGGUGACUAAGGACAGAACAGGUGACUAAGGACAGAGCAGGUGAUAGAGGCUAGGAGGGAGUUGUUUACUGAAACUAGGGGCAAACAGACGUAAAGAACGAGAAAGUUAAACUUUAAAGUGGAGAACAAAGAACAGCCGAACAUCCUGACACAUUGGUUCUUUGGAGAGGAACUCAGAGAACUCAUUGUACUUAACAAUUUUCUCCCUCUUAAAUUUUAAAAGACAUGAACAGGCUAAACUUUGAAGAGGAAUUUACUGCAUCCUACAGAUGACAAUUAAUGAUCAAUCUUGCAAUGUUUACUGAGGUCACUAUCCUCAGUGCUAUAUGUGUUCUGUGUCCCAUUGACUUCAGGGUAACUACAUGGUCCUUAAACUUAGAAUCAAAGUAUUUCCAUGAGACCUUCCUUAAUAGACAUUUGUUCUCAGCCUUCUUUCAACAGCAACAUCCUUUGUUCAAAUGAGGAUGCACAAAGAAAUACAAUAGGUAAAAACAUGGUAUCAGGACUGCUCUCAUUAAGCUGGCGUGGGAGGUGGUCACACGAGGGUUUCAGAUCCUCACCCAAGGAUCUCAUCUUUCUCUGUACAAGGGUAAGCUGCACAGUGCCUUUGUAGAUACUUCUGAGAUUGCCUGAAACCUGCUGGUCUGGCUCAGUCUCUCCUAUCACUGACAAAGAAGCCGAGACCUCGAAAGUCAUGCCACCCAUGAGCAGUAACUCAUGCAAAGAAUCGCAAUACCAGAACUCCUGACCUACAAGGCUUCCUCUCUGUGCACCCAAGAUGUCCCAAACCGAAAUGGUCUAUGCACGACGGAGAACUUUGAUCAAACUCGGAAAACGUCUUCGAAAGUGAAACGCAGCACAUUGCAGAGAUGUCACAAAUGAGACUUCCUUUGACGGUCCCUGAGAGCGUCUUUGUGUUCCUUGUAGCUGCUCCCAUUAUUUUGGGCAGACAUUGGCACAGUCUUUGAUGAAACAUUUUUCACCUUGAAUUACAGUAAAUGUUAUCUCAUGUUUUUGGAAAUGCCAUCUAAGGACUUAAGAGAUAUCAUUGCUAGAUAAUUGUUUAUAAUCAUGCCCCUUAUAAUUUCAUUUGAAGAUUAUAUGAGAAAAAUCUAAGCAUACCAAUUUAAUAAAGGAUUUGGACAAA